AGGGUUUUAGUUGAAUGGUGCUUCCCUUGAUAGCCCUUGGAUCUUGAUGCAUUGCUUCCUAGCCUUUGAUCUUUAAGUCAUGUUCACACUUGGAUCCAUGUGAAAAGUUAUCUUCUAAUCUAAACUCUUGAAUCUUGAGAGCUUACAUCUAUUUCUUUCAUGAGUAAGUUGCGUUCACACUUGAAUUUGAUUAGCCCUUGAACUGGUU
rnacentral:lncRNA from 1 species